UACGUAGGGCGCAAGCGUUGUUCGGAGUUACUGGGCGUAAAGGGCGCGUAGGCGGAUAGUUAAGUGAGAUGUGAAAUCCCUGGGCUUAACCUAGGAACUGCAUCUUAAACUGGCUGUCUAGAGUACAGUAGAGGGUAGCGGAAUUUCCGGUGUAGCGGUGAAAUGCGUAGAGAUCGGAAGGAACACCAGUGGCGAAGGCGGCUAUCUGGACUGAAACUGACGCUGAGGCGCGAGAGCGUGGGGAGCAAACAGG
rnacentral:rRNA from 1 species